rnacentral:lncRNA from 1 species
CCUGCCCACAUUCCUUCUGCCUCCAGUCUCUCUGCAUGUCGGCCUCCCUCUGACUUAGACUUGGCUUGCCAUCUCUCCUCCACGAUCUUUACCAUGGAAUGUCCCUCAGCCUGAUCUGCAACCAGGGACUGUGAACACACCUCUUACCUCUUGCAGCCCGCCUGUCCACUGGGACCCACUCCCUCUGCAGUUUGUGUGGUUUGAGUUUCACCUUGUGAUGCCAAAAGUGGCGUUUGCUCGUCUGUUUGUUUCUCAGUGUGCUUAUUCCCUCUGGAUAGUUUCUAAGAAAAAUGGCAAAACUUGUCUGACACCCAUCCUUCUCAAGCUGCCAUUUCCCAUCUUGUAAUGUUAGACCCCCGGAAAACUCAGGUAUCCGGGGUCCCAGGCCACGACCGAGGUCACCCCAAUCACCAGGCAGAUUCGAGAGCUUGCUGCAAACUGCACGAGGCUUUAUUGUUUUUUUAACGAGCUAACCCCAUGUUAGCUCGGGUCUUUCACCCACCCACCGUGGUGGAUGGCUAGCAAAGACAAGACCUAGGGCCUCCCAAGAGAUCUUGUAGGGCAGCGUAAGGGGAGUGUCUAGGGGUACGCUCAGGCUCACUAUUGGUGUGCCUCCAGGCUUGGAGGGUUUGCCCUGUGUUGAUUGGCCAACUGGUUGUUAUGGCCCAUAGGCCCUCCCAGGGUGGUUGCUAUGCUCCGCGUCAUUGUUGUGUGCUUGUCCGUAAAGUAUACCCAGGGUGGUAAAGCAUAGCGCCACCAGCUAACUUCUGAUUGGUUCCUUGUCACGAGGCAGGCAUCUGACUUUCUAGUGUCUAGGACAAGGUCAGACAAGCAUGUGUUUGGCCAUUAUGACUGCCGAAAGGGGAGCUGGUCCCUUCAGUAAGUUGGGGUUUUACUAGCAAAAAUUGAGGCAGGAGUUCUGCAUAUACAUUCAUAAUACAUUUUUCCCCUGAGAGUUAUUUUUAAAAUAUUCUCAUCAUACAAGAAUGACUCACUAAAUAACCUCUGGUUGUCUCCAGCAUGGCAGCUCAGAUUCUAGACGACUUCCAGCUCGCCUCACUUCUCAUAGGGAGCCCUUGAUUUCUUUCAGCAACAGAAAAUGUCUCUUAAAGAAAUUUGCAAAAUUGAGACUACCCCUUCCUCAUGUGCAGCCUGAAUGGCUGCAAUUUAGACAAGUUCUUCGUCUGUCUUUCUUCCUCUCUCUAUGAGAAGCUGACUCACCCCAUGGACCACAGCAGGAACUUCCUUGUCCUUUGCCACUGGAUGGGUUUGGUUGCUGAGGCAUGGACAGGAGACUGGUGGAAGGAAGAGGAGGUCACAGGCUUCAUUGUUUGGCUCUCUGUAUGCUGAGUCACCGCAGGCUGUUAAAAGACGUGAAAAGGAAAUCUGCCACCGUUUUCCUCUUGUGGUCAACCUGCUUCAUUAGAGUCUUUUGGAUUUCUUUCAUUCCCAACUAACUAACUAACUAACUAAACUAACUAACUAACUAACUCAAUGAGAAGAGCUACAUCACACAAGCCGAGUCUAGUCUAGGGGUCCAGGG